UUACGGCCACAUCGUGUUGAAACACCGGUCCCUUACGAUCAACGAAGUUAAGCAACUUCGAGCCCAUUCAGUACUUAGAUGGGUAACUGCUUGGGAAUACUAGGUGCUGUAAG